rnacentral:rRNA from 1 species
AGAGUUUGAUCCUGGCUCAGGAUGAACGCUGGCGGCGUGCCUAAUACAUGCAAGUCGAUCGGGCGUAGCAAUACGUCAGAGGCGAACGGGUGAGUAACACGUAGGUAACCUGCCCUCGAGACUGGGAUACCCAGACGAAAGUUUGGCUAAUACCGGAUAACAACAUUGGAGACAUCUCUGAUGUUUGAAAGGCGCUUUAAAGCGUCACUCUUGGAUGGACCUGCGGCACAUUAGCUAGUUGGUGAGAUAAUAGCCCACCAAGGCAAGGAUGUGUAGCCGAUCUGAGAGGAUGACCGGCCACAAUGGGACUGAGACACGGCCCAUACUCCUACGGGAGGCAGCAGUAGGGAGUUUUCGGCAAUGGGGGAAACCCUGACCGAGCAACGCCGCGUGAGUGAUGAAGGUCUUCGGAUUGUAAAGCUCUGUUACAGGGGACGAAUGAUUGCCAUAGGAAAUGAUGGCGGUUUGACGGUACCCUGCCAGAAAGUGACGGCUAACUACGUGCCAGCAGCCGCGGUAAUACGUAGGUCACGAGCGUUAUCCGGAAUUAUUGGGCGUAAAGAGUGAGCAGACGGUGAAGUAAGUCUGAAGUGAAAGCGUGGGGCUUAACCCCAUAUAGCUCCGGAAACUACUUCGCUAGAGUACGUCAGAGGUAAACAGAACUCCGUGUGUAGCGGUGAAAUGCGUAGAUAUACGGAAGAAUACCAGUGGCAAAGGCGGUUUACCAGGACGAUACUGACGUUCAGUCACGAAAGCGUGGGGAGCAAAUAGGAUUAGAUACCCUAGUAGUCCACGCC